rnacentral:rRNA from 1 species
AGAGAUUGAACUGAAGAGUUUGAUCCUGGCUCAGAUUGAACGCUGGCGGCAUGCCUUACACAUGCAAGUCGAACGGCAGCACGGGAGCUUGCUCCUGGUGGCGAGUGGCGAACGGGUGAGUAAUAUAUCGGAACGUGCCCUAGAGUGGGGGAUAACUAGUCGAAAGAUUAGCUAAUACCGCAUACGAUCUAAGGAUGAAAGUGGGGGAUCGCAAGACCUCAUGCUCGUGGAGCGGCCGAUAUCUGAUUAGCUAGUUGGUGAGGUAAAGGCUCACCAAGGCGACGAUCAGUAGCUGGUCUGAGAGGACGACCAGCCACACUGGAACUGAGACACGGUCCAGACUCCUACGGGAGGCAGCAGUGGGGAAUUUUGGACAAUGGGCGCAAGCCUGAUCCAGCAAUGCCGCGUGAGUGAAGAAGGCCUUCGGGUUGUAAAGCUCUUUUGUCAGGGAAGAAACGGGUGAGGCUAAUAUCCUUGCCUAAUGACGGUACCUGAAGAAUAAGCACCGGCUAACUACGUGCCAGCAGCCGCGGUAAUACGUAGGGUGCAAGCGUUAAUCGGAAUUACUGGGCGUAAAGCGUGCGCAGGCGGUUGUGCAAGACAGAUGUGAAAUCCCCGGGCUCAACCUGGGAAUUGCAUUUGUGACUGCACGGCUAGAGUGUGUCAGAGGGGGGUAGAAUUCCACGUGUAGCAGUGAAAUGCGUAGAUAUGUGGAGGAAUACCGAUGGCGAAGGCAGCCCCCUGGGAUAACACUGACGCUCAUGCACGAAAGCGUGGGGAGCAAACAGGAUUAGAUACCCUGGUAGUCCACGCCCUAAACGAUGUCUACUAGUUGUCGGGUCUUAAUUGACUUGGUAACGCAGCUAACGCGUGAAGUAGACCGCCUGGGGAGUACGGUCGCAAGAUUAAAACUCAAAGGAAUUGACGGGGACCCGCACAAGCGGUGGAUGAUGUGGAUUAAUUCGAUGCAACGCGAAAAACCUUACCUACCCUUGACAUGUACGGAAGUCCGAAGAGAUUUGGAUGUGCUCGAAAGAGAACCGUAACACAGGUGCUGCAUGGCUGUCGUCAGCUCGUGUCGUGAGAUGUUGGGUUAAGUCCCGCAACGAGCGCAACCCUUGUCAUUAGUUGCUACGAAAGGGCACUCUAAUGAGACUGCCGGUGACAAACCGGAGGAAGGUGGGGAUGACGUCAAGUCCUCAUGGCCCUUAUGGGUAGGGCUUCACACGUCAUACAAUGGUACAUACAGAGGGCCGCCAACCCGCGAGGGGGAGCUAAUCCCAGAAAGUGUAUCGUAGUCCGGAUUGUAGUCUGCAACUCGACUACAUGAAGUUGGAAUCGCUAGUAAUCGCGGAUCAGCAUGUCGCGGUGAAUACGUUCCCGGGUCUUGUACACACCGCCCGUCACACCAUGGGAGCGGGUUCUGCCAGAAGUAGUUAGCCUAACCGCAAGGAGGGCGAUUACCACGGCAGGGUUCGUGACUGGGGUGAAGUCGUAACAAGGUAGCCGUAUCGGAAGGUGCGGCUGGAUCACCUCCUUUCUA